rnacentral:rRNA from 1 species
AGGCGGCCAUAGCGUGAGGGCCCCACCUCUUCCCAUCCCGAACAGAGAAGUUAAGCCUCACCACGCCGAUGGUACUGCGAGAGUGGGAGAGUAGGUAACCG